AUAGAGAUGGAGUUUCACUGUGUUAGCCAGGAUGGUCUCGACCUCCUGACCUCAAGAUCUGCCCGCCUCAGCCUCCCAAAGUGCUGGGAUUACAGGCGUGAGCCACUGCGCCUGGCCGGCAAGAGCGAUUUCAGUGGAGCAGGAGUGGAAGUUAGUCCUUCACCAGCACCUCCAGAAUGCCCAGGAUGAGCCCCAGAUGACGCAGGACACUGCAGGUCAGAGAUGAAGACAAAGCCUUUGUCCUGGAGGAGCAUUGGGCAUCCCACGCCCACACCACACAGCUCCUCCCCGCCCGAACCACUGUCCCCUGCAAGAUUUAGCCAGCGUGAUCUAUGAGAAGAGACAAUACUUGGCAGCACGCUAGCGGGAGGAAAACUCCUGGUGAUGGUUACAGAGUCGACAGGCAACUUGCAGCAGCAGCACCUCAUGCACAGUGGCCUCUACUGUGGGAUGAUGCCUCUCCUAAGACACUGGAGAAAGGCACAGUGUGAUCAGAGACAGGCACCCAGAGAUUCUGGCCACCGCCUGUCGUUGUAGUUCCCAACCGAGAAAAUAAAAUUAUUUUUCCAUGAUGAGUUUUGAAACAAAACAAGGCGCUAAGAAUCCAAGUGAUUUUUAAGACUUUUCUUACAUAAAUAUAUUGAUUUCCGGAAAAAAAAUGUUUUCAAUAAUUUAUUUGUUUAUUCAUCCAUUUCACGAUAUUGAAGGCCUACUGUGUGCCCAAUAUUGGUUUAGUGACUGGGGAUAUAUCAGAGAACGAAAUAGACUCUUUGCCUUUCUGCAGUUACAUCCUAAUAAAAAAGACAGACAGCAAAGGAAAUCUAAAGGGUGCCAGAUCGUGCAUUCUGUAGAGAAAAAAUACUGCAUAGAAUGGGGAUUAGAAGGUGCAAAGGGUGGGGGUAGAGUUUCCAUUUUAUGAACAGUGGUAAAGGAAAGCUUCGCCCACAUGGUGGCAUUUGAGCAGAGAAGUGCAGAAAGUGAGGCUCCUGGCCACAUGGGCAUCAGGGGAAGGUUUAGCUGGCAGAGAAAAGGGCAUGCAGAGGCCCCGAGGCAGGUCUCAGGAGCAGCAGGAGGUAGGGAAGCUGGAGCUGAGGGAAAGAGGGGGAGAGGGCAGAGAAGAGGUCAGAGAAGGAGUGGAGGGUCUGGUUGGGGGGCCAGAUUAUGGAGGGCUGGGUGGGCCAUCUUAUGGUCUUUAGCUUUUAAUCUGAGUGAGAUGGGAAAUCGCAGAAGUGUUGGGGUGCAGGAGUGGCAUGAUCUGGGUCCUAUUCUAGAAGACUCGCUUUGGAUAGCCUGAGAAAAGUAGGCUGUAGGAAACAAUGACCCAGUAAAUAGGGGGAAGACCUUCCAAAUGUCCCAGUGUGUGGCCCCUACCCUCAGCUUGCCAGCCCUCACCUGAGAUCUUCCUCUCUCCUUACUACUUCCCUCUGGGUUCUCAAUCUCUCAGACCCUGCUACUCCCCUCGCCCUUCCCCACUCCCCAGCUCUGAGGCCUGUGUCUUCUCCUCAACUUCCAUCCUAGGCUGCUGGUUGCUCUUACCUGGAGGGAGCUGGCAAUUUCUUCAGACAGGCAGGUUGAGGAGAGGCAGAAGAGGAAGGGGUUAAGCACUCACAGCCUCACAGUUAAGCACUCACAGUUAAGCACUCACACCAGCCUCACAGUUAAGCACUGCAAAGCAAUCCAACUUUUCAUGCUGCCCAGGAUGCCCCCUUGCUGUAACUCCUGUGAGUAAUUAUGCUUCGAGUCACAGUCUCUUUCCUCCAUCUCAAUGUGUGCUCCCUGGCUUGCAUCUUUGCCUUCACCUUGUAAGCGCCCAGCCUCCAAAUGCACCAUGCUCUGGAAAGGGUAAGGAGGUCCCUGACUGCUGCACUCGUAUGCCCAAGACACAACUAGGACAUUGGAACAAAGCUCUGCUUCAAGCCAGAGGAGGUAAAGAUGGAGACAUUCGGAGAAAACGGAAGGGAGGAUGGAGGGACUAGAGUGAGGUUCAGAGCUGGUGCUCAGUAGAUAGCUAUGUGUCCAACCAGUGUUUACCAGCAAGCACUCUGUGCCAGGCACUGGGCGGUAGGCAGAGAGAUGGGAAGGAUCUGGGGAGAAAUGUGGCUGUUGACUACCAUGGUCAUCCAGCUUCUGGGACAGACUGGAAAGUUGGGUAAUUUGCCUUGAACCUUCCCCUCUUCCCCUUUUGAGCUCCUUGUUUAACCUUCUCACCCGCUGGCAGCACCAGUGUCUGGGCUUCCUCUCCCCUCUCAAAACAUUUCACUCUUAAAACUCUCUGUUCCUGGAAAACAGUCUGCAAUUCCUCAAAAGGUCAAAGGUAGAGUUACCACAUGACCCAGCAAUUCCACUCCUAGGUACUGUAUAGAUCCAAGAGAAUCGAAAACAGGUGUUCCAACAAAAACUGGUACAUGGAAGUUCACAGCAGUUCUAUUCCUAAUAGUCAAAACGUGCAAACUACCCAAAUGUCCAUCAACUGAUGAACGGAUAAACAAAAUGUGAUAUAUCCAAACAAUGGAAUAUUAUUCAGCCAUAAAAAUGAAGUACUAUACACGCUACAGCAUGGAUGAACUUUGAAAGCAAGAUGCUAAGUUGAAGUGAGAUGCAAAAGGACAUAUAUUAUAGGGUCUCAUUUAUACAAAAUGACCAGAAUAAGCAAAUCCAUAGAGUCGGAAAUCAGAUUCGUGAGCUGGGCCCAGUGGCUCACGCCUGUAAUCCCAGCACUUUGGGAGGCGGGAGG